AAGACUAGAGAGGAACAUCAAAGAUGAGCUGGAGGAAUACAGCGAUGACAAACCUAAACUAUCAAAACUGCUUACAGGGCGUAGGGUAACUCUGGCAGAGGAACUAAAGCAAGUUAGACAAAUACAAGAGAAAUUAGAAGAAUUCAUAGAAGCGCUAAACAAGGAAAAAUAGAGACAAGGUAGUUUUGCAUCAGUAGUGCCACCUUACUACACUUAAAAAUGUGAGGGAGAAAAGAGAAAAAAAAACAAUAAUAUUUGAAUAUUAACAUGGAAUUUACAAACAUUUUUUUUCCAAAAUGAAGGUUGGCACAGCUAGGAUAGCACAUUUAAAGGUGGAGAACAGUGCCUGGAACUGCUUCUAUGUGGCAUUUGGAAUUGUGGAUUACUUUGCUGCCGCUUGUAUCACAUAAUAUGAUAUGCGUGAAAUCUGUGUAACUAAAAUAUUUUUGUGUAUGCAGUCUGUAUAAUAUUAAAUUUUCAUUCAUUAUUGCAGUGCAAUUUACAAAAUUAAUUUCAGAUAAGAAACCUAUCCAUUGAAGUUUGCCAACUUAUUUUCUGGACUGCAAAAUGGCUUUGUGGAGUUGCCAGAUUUACUGAUUUUAUUAAUUCUCUUUUUGAGUAUAGGUGGACACAUUUUCCGUGCUGAGGAUAAAAAGAAAAAUGUCUGUCUAUAUGCCAUGAUGUAACUGUCUUCUGAAAAAAUAAGGGUAUACAUUUUUAUUUUUCAUAAUUUUUAUUGUAGUUGCCUUACCCAAGUUACAUAAGACCCAGUUGGUUCUAUCUAUAUAAAAGCAGUCACAUCAAGAUUUUUUAACCACGAAUUGUUUAAUAUACACAAUUUAUUUGCUCAUCAAUUAUAUGCCACUUAAUAUACAUUUUAAUACAUUGAGAUGUUUUUCUGCAAUGUUUAUUAUUUGAGUAAAAAUAUGUGAAGAAAAUUAUACACCUUUAUAAGUCAAGAGGUGAUCUUAUUUAUUAGUUGCAAUUAUUGCUAGUUAUACAAUAAAUAAACUUGUAAGUGCU